rnacentral:rRNA from 1 species
GAUGAACGCUGGCGGCGUGCCUAAUACAUGCAAGUCGAGCGAACAGACGAGGAGCUUGCUCCUCUGACGUUAGCGGCGGACGGGUGAGUAACACGUAGAUAACCUACCUAUAAGACUGGGAUAACUUCGGGAAACCGGAGCUAAUACCGGAUAAUAUUUUGAACCGCAUGGUUCAAUAGUGAAAGACGGUUUUGCUGUCACUUAUAGAUGGAUCUGCGCCGCAUUAGCUAGUUGGUAAGGUAACGGCUUACCAAGGCAACGAUGCGUAGCCGACCUGAGAGGGUGAUCGGCCACACUGGAACUGAGACACGGUCCAGACUCCUACGGGAGGCAGCAGUAGGGAAUCUUCCGCAAUGGGCGAAAGCCUGACGGAGCAACGCCGCGUGAGUGAUGAAGGUCUUCGGAUCGUAAAACUCUGUUAUUAGGGAAGAACAAAUGUGUAAGUAACUGUGCACGUCUUGACGGUACCUAAUCAGAAAGCCACGGCUAACUACGUG